rnacentral:misc_RNA from 1 species
ACUGCGUGAGCGGACGAAAACAACAACACCUAAAAUGUGGAAUAUAGCAUAUAGUCGACAAGAGAAAUCUACGAAAAACAAACAAAACUUUCAACAACGGAUCUCUUGGUUCUCGCAUCGAUGAAGAGCGCAGCGAAAUGCGAUACCUAGUGUGAAUUGCAGCCAUCGUGAAUCAUCGAGUUCUUGAACGCACAUUGCGCCCCUCGGCAUUCCGGGGGGCAUGCCUGUUUGAGCGUCGUUUCCAUCUUGCGCGUGCGCAGAGUUGGGGGAGCGGAGCGGACGACGUGUAAAGAGCGUCGGAGCUGCGACUCGCCUGAAAGGGAGCGAAGCUGGCCGAGCGAACUAGACUUUUUUUCAGGGACGCUUGGCGGCCGAGAGCGAGUGUUGCGAGACAACAAAAAGCUCGACCUCAAAUCAGGUAGGAAUACCCGCUGAACUUAAGCAUAUCAAUAAGCGGA